GAGACCAGCAUGGCCAUUACAUGUUUAUUAAAAAGAUAACAUCAUUUCAUUUUCCCUUGUCAGGUAAUUUUACAUCUAACACGAAGAGGGUGUCUGAACGAUAACAAACAGCUGGAGAAGAGAAAAAUGGCCAAGUCACUCCACAGUGGAGCAUCCUAAUGACAAAGCCGAUCUCCAAAACAGAUUGUAGACUUUGCUUGAGAAGAUGCUGCUGCACUCAACUGAAUGAUUUUCUUUCUUUGUUUCAUUUCAUUCAAAGGUAACCCAGACGGACUCCUCCAACCAUGGCC
rnacentral:lncRNA from 1 species